UGGUUCCUUACUGAAUAAACACGUGUGUCAGCUAUAAAAUUAAAUAUCCGCAACAAAGUAUUUUAUUUAAUUAUUACUACUGGACAUAUAUAAAAACGAAAAGUCAGGACAGACCAAGAGGAAUACCAACGAAUUUUCUACAGGAAAGGUCGAAGAGAUACAUAAGUAAGGGUAAAGAUGAGAAAGUUCGAUCGUAACGGUUAAGAUACAAGAUACAGCAAGAUCUGCUUUCUUAUCGGCAUAAAGGUCGCCGAAAGUAUUGAAGAAGAACCUAAUCCAAAGAGGAUAGCAAGUGGUGGAUUUAAGAUAUCCAGGCUGGGAGUGUAAAGAGCAUGCUAAUGCUGAUACUAUUUGAUGCUCAUCAGUAAGCCCAGCCAAGUAUAACAUAUAAAUUAUGAAUAAAAAGUCAGUCAUAUAUCUAGAUCCAAUAA